rnacentral:rRNA from 1 species
CGGAGGAUCCAAGCGUUAUCCGGAAUCAUUGGGUUUAAAGGGUCCGUAGGCGGUUUUAUAAGUCAGUGGUGAAAUCUGGUCGCUCAACGAUCAAACGGCCAUUGAUACUGUAGAACUUGAAUUACUUGGAAGUAACUAGAAUAUGUAGUGUAGCGGUGAAAUGCUUAGAGAUUACAUGGAAUACCAAUUGCGAAGGCAGGUUACUACAAGUAUAUCGACGCUGAUGGACGAAAGCGUGGGGAGCGAACAGGAUUAGAUACCCUGGUAGUCCACGCCGUAAACGAUGGAUACUAGCUGUUUGGAGCAAUCUGAGUGGCUAAGCGAAAGUGAUAAGUAUCCCACCUGGGGAGUACGCUCGCAAGAGUG